CCGGUACCGGUUCACGUCGACGUUUCGCGUCGGCGACCCGGCGACC
rnacentral:ncRNA from 1 species